ACAGGCAAAGCUCAGCCACCAACGAUUCCAUCAGAAUGCUCCUGGCCUGGUCCGUCAAUUCCAACUGUCAAGGGACCAAGCGAGAGCGAUUGUGGCCACAUGCCCACAGUGCCAGGCUUUUCAAUUACCAGCCAUAGCCGCUGGCACCAACCCGCGGGGACUUAAAAGUUGUGAAAUCUGGCAGAUGGACAUCACACAUAUCCCAGAGUUUGGCAAGUUCAGUUGGACUCUCCCUCAUCCUAAUGCAACUUCUGUUGAUGACCCACCCAGCUGACACGUGGAUCGUUCCCCAACCGAAGGCAAACGUCUGGCGAACCUUGGCUCAGGCAAUGGGACAAGACCACCUGUGUCUGUCCACGACCUCUGCAGCAGACCCCCUCUCGACUUGCCUCGUGGGAAUCCCAUUCGGGGUUGAUGAUUUUCCCUCUCCCUUUUUCCCCACCCUAAAAUCCUUACUCCCCCAAUAUGCGCCUGAUCCCCGUCCCGAACCUAGAAUCUUGUGGCGUGCGGUCCUUACAGUACUCCAACACGCCCCUGAAGAACCCACACAAUUCGAUCUGCUCGGCUCCGCCCGCGCCUCCCUAUGCUUUCAGUUCAUUCCCUACCCUGGGGAGAGCCCAUUUCAAGAGGUCCGCCAGGGAAACAAGAAGUACAUUGCCGCCAACUGGUGUGACCAUGUUGCAGCAAUCAGAGCUCCAUCCACAUUCUAUGGGCAACCCCGAAUCCUCCCUAAGGGCGUGUUCCUGAUGUGCGGGGACCGAGCGUGGGCUGGCAUUCCCUCUCAUUUGUCCGGAGGGCCCUGCACUUUCGGGCGGUUGACGCUGCUUACCCCCAACUACACCCAAAUUUUAGAUUGGAAAAAUAAAAAUGUCACACAGAAUUCGGCCCGAAUUAAAAGAGACCCGCAAAUUUGACUCAGAGUGUGACGCUGAAAUUGUACAUUGGUCUAAACCCAAAAACAUUGCGGUUUCGGUGUUUUGGCCGUGGGUGGCCGCAGCAAAGGCACUAGGAGAAUUGGGACACCUCGAGUGCUGGGUGGCGAAGCAAGCCAAUUUGACCUCAACUGCCCUAGCGGACCUCCUAGCUGACGAAGAAACAACGAGGAAAGCAACCCUCCAAAAUAGGGCGGCAAUCGAUUUCCUUUUGUUACUUCACAACCAUCACUGUGAGGAGUUCGAGGGGCUCUGCUGCAUGAACCUGUCGUCACGAGCCGAGGACGCCAGACGCACCAUCCGCCAGAUGUCCGAGGACGUCGACAACAUCCGACAACAGACCUCGGACUGGUUGGCGGACUUGCUAUCCAAAAUGGGAGUGACAGGCUGGGUGGGCUCCAUCAUUCGUACCGUUUUAGUUAUUAUCUUAAUUUGACUCUGUUUAAUUUUUGGUUUCUGCAUUAUCUAUAAGUUACUGACCAGAAUUUUGUUUGCCACAACCCCCCAAAUCAACCAUGUUGAGGCUCCUACUGACCCUGCUCCCAUCCCUGAAGAACCUUCCUGUGAGAAAAUGCAUUGGGAGCAAGCCCCUCAAUCCUCCCUAUGGUUUUCAGUUACUACGCCAGUUUAAGAAUAAUUUCAGUUUUAUUUUUAUUUUAAACAAAAAAGAGGGAGAUGUUGUGGUUCAGGGUUCAUUUGGUUUGUUCUGUUUCCCCCUAAAGUUAUAAUGGUUUGGUCCUAGGGUUCCCCCCCCCCCUCCUCCCCUGGCAACCCCUCCUUUUGAGAGUGUCAGUUUUUUGUCUCCACCCCUGUUCCCCUGGUUACCCUCUGUCAAUCCCUCCCUGAGUUCCUGUCCAUCACACACUGUCCCCUGCCCUCUUUCCAGAAAGUUCUCCCCUCCUCGGUGGGUGAUUGGAUCGGGAACAAGGGUCCCUCCCUGUCACAUUCCCUAUUGGCUAGCCGGCAUGUUUGUCACGAGUUUGUUCCCUCCCAAGUUCUCCCUCAUUGGUUGAAGUGUUGUAUGUUCCGCCCCCUUUAUAAUCGGCUGUACCCCCACCUCGUGGUCCCGACUCGGCUGGCUUCCCCUGGAGACAUUAAAACUCUGGACUUUGCCCCUGA